rnacentral:piRNA from 1 species
AAAAGAAAGUCCAAAGAGCUCCUAU